CACCCUAAAACCGCCAAGUGCAUAAAUUAUUCAAAAAUGUUUCUUCCCCCGAAAAUUCAUGCAGUUGACGUAAACUCGGGGAUUCCCCGCGCCCUUUUCCGUAACUGAUGUCUCUGAGGACACUUUAUCAUGGCUCGCGAGGCUCAAACAAUUGUUGCAAAUGGAGCUCAGCGGCUAAGUGGUUUUAUUUUAAAUCUUUCACGUUUAGCACGGAGUCGAAAAAAAUGGAAGCGCGGAAAUCUGCUGCCUUGUGACAACAAGUUGCUUUUGAAAACUCAGCAGUCGCGACAAGUUCUCAAUUGUUUGGCGAAUGUCAGUCUUCAUUUGUCAGCUACAUCCAAAGUUAGGGCUUAAGUGGCUUCGUUGUUGGGCGGAGGACACAGAUAUAUGACUCAAGCCUGGAAUCAAUAAAAUCCCGUGGCACAUGAAUUCAAACACGUAAGCCCCAAAACAAAAGCCUGCAAAUGUGCAUGGCAUCUACAAAAAGGCCAAAACAACAGAGUCCAAAAGCGAACGAAAGUGAAUUUCACGCCAUUGGCCAAAACGAUUUUCCGGCAGGAAGGCAUCAAUCAGAUCGGAAAAUACUUCGUUCUGCUUACUUAUUUAUGCGUCCCCGGCGUAUGCGUAAUAUUUCAGCGGUUUAUUACAAGCUCAUUGAAUUCGCAUAGUUGCACAGUUUCAGCUCCCUUAAUAGGAAUAUUUAUUCAGUCUAAUUUAUU